GGGAAUAUAAUUUAAUUUAAAAUAUUAUUUUUGCAUAAUAAUUAUGGAAGUUAAAAUCUUCUUAUUUCCA
rnacentral:tRNA from 1 species